rnacentral:rRNA from 1 species
GAGCGAUCUGGAGCAAAACUCUAAAAAACAAUCUCAGUUCAGAUUGCAGGCUGCAACUCGCCUGCAUGAAGUCGGAAUUGCUAGUAAUCGUAGGUCAGCAUACUACGGUGAAUACGUUCCCGGGCCUUGUACACACCGCCCGUCAAACCAUGAGAGUCGGUAACACCCGAAGCCGAUAGUCUAACGAAAGAGGACGUCGUCGAAGGUGGGAUUGAUGACUGGGGUGAAGUCGUAACAAGGUAGC